rfam:Glycine soja cultivar W05 scaffold9442_4, whole genome shotgun sequence.
UUCUUAUUGGAUGAUAACUGCCACGCGUCAUGUUCUGAUUGGAUGUCAACUCCAUGAAAGAUGAAAUGUAUUAUUGUUUUCAUUGACCAAUCAUAACAUGACACGUGACAAUCAUCAUCC